AGGGUUUCUCUUUGUAGACCAGGCUAUCCUUGAACUCAGGGAUCCUCCUGUCUCUGCCUCUGCCUCCCAUCUUUUCUAGUUUUUUAAACGUACAUUUAAAAAAUAGGUUCAGCUACUAACCUUGUUCAUAACAUUAAGUUCUAAACAUUUGCUGUGCUGUGUAACUUUAAGAACAAUUUCUUUUGGCACUAGUUUUUAUCUACAUGUACCUGGAAGUUGAGACCAAAAGAGCAAACUCUUGGGCAGGCAACACGUACGAUGUGUAUAUAUUUGAACAAAUAUACAAGGAUUGCAGAGAUUAGCAAUACUCAUAAGAACUGUUUGAUUUAUAAAUGCAUCACUUCUGGUACUUGAUACAAUGGGAUCUAUUGAGCUAAAAAAUGUGUAUAUAUACAGUGGUCAGCACUUCUUAGGAACUUCUCUUGAAUCCGUUUUUAAUAUAUUUCGCAGGCUGGGGAGUUAUAUAGACUCUUCAAGGCGCUGUUACCCUGGCUAUAAAUUUAUAAAAUAAAUUGAAAAAUUCAUCAUUCCUCUGUACUCAAGACCAAAGCACAUAAUGCUAAUGUAGGGCUCAGAGGGGAAAUACAGUUCUCCUGCAUAUUUGAGGAAAUGUGGAGUCCUUUCAAGAAAAUGUAAUAAACAUAAUCAUCGUAGCCUGCUGACACCAAGGAAAAAGGCCCCUAUUCGCUCUUUCUUUUAUGCAGCAAUUUGCUGGUCCCUGCUGAUCUUCAAAUUGGAUCACUGUAGUAAAUUAUCCAUGCUGGUACUGGUGAAAGUAAGCCCUAGGUUCCAUAUUUGUUUUGUGUUCUGCUUAAAUCAGCAAGAAUGAUAAAUUUGAUGGUGUGAAAUUGGAAGUGUCAAGGGCUUUCUUUGGUGACUGCACAAAGUCAUGUCUUCACCUGGAACUUAUUGUGACCUUUUUUCACUGUAUGUGCUACAUAUGUCUAAUAUUUAUUUCAAUACAAAUUAAAUUGUUCUUUCAUCUAUAAUGUUUUACCUAACAUUUUAUUGAUGUAAAGUCAAAUUGUAUAAUAAAAGUCUUCCUGGAUUUAA
rnacentral:lncRNA from 1 species